rnacentral:tRNA from 8 species
GGGCGGUUAGCUCAGGGGUAGAGCACAGCAUUCACACUGCUGGGGUCGGGGGUUCAAAGCCCUCACCGCCCACCA